rnacentral:tRNA from 1 species
GCGGCCGUAGCUCAGUGGAUAGAGCGUCUGCCUCCGGAGCAGAAGGUCGGAGGUUCGAGUCCUCUCGGCCGCGCCA